rnacentral:rRNA from 1 species
AUUGAACGCUGGCGGCAGGCCUAACACAUGCAAGUCGAGCGGCAGCACGGGUACUUGUACCUGGUGGCGAGCGGCGGACGGGUGAGUAAUGCCUAGGAAUCUGCCUGGUAGUGGGGGAUAACGUUCGGAAACGAACGCUAAUACCGCAUACGUCCUACGGGAGAAAGCAGGGGACCUUCGGGCCUUGCGCUAUCAGAUGAGCCUAGGUCGGAUUAGCUAGUUGGUGAGGUAAUGGCUCACCAAGGCGACGAUCCGUAACUGGUCUGAGAGGAUGAUCAGUCACACUGGAACUGAGACACGGUCCAGACUCCUACGGGAGGCAGCAGUGGGGAAUAUUGGACAAUGGGCGAAAGCCUGAUCCAGCCAUGCCGCGUGUGUGAAGAAGGUCUUCGGAUUGUAAAGCACUUUAAGUUGGGAGGAAGGGCAGUUGCCUAAUACGUAAUUGUUUUGACGUUACCGACAGAAUAAGCACCGGCUAACUCUGUGCCAGCAGCCGCGGUGAUAC